AAUUCUGUAUGUUAGGCUAAGUAAAGACGGUCACUCACUCCUCGCCAAUGGAACUCAGUGCAUGACCAGAGAGACUCAGCACGAGAUGCAACCUAUGAAAACAAUGACAGGGACAGGCCUCUAUUCGCUUGCUUGCCUUCUCAUGAUCAGCAGUGUCCGCUCUACCUGUGUUCCUUUGGAGUGUCUGAGGUGUGACAUAAUCCCCUCACCUGAAGUGUCUGGGAAUCACAAAGCAGAUGAGGCCACCUGUGAACACCUGUGCUCUAACACUACCCAAUGUCUCAAUACCACUGAUGUAGGGAAUUGCAUAAAAGAUUUUGAAGUGUUUCUGAACACCAGUAAUGGAUUUGAAGUGGAGGAGGGUGAUGACCUCACAAUGGAGUGUGCCCACGACCUACCGGUGAGAGAUCAUGACCUGCUGGUGUUUGUCUGGCUGAAGGAUGGGCUUCCCCUGGAGGGCGAGAACAAUAGCACGGUGACCUUGGAGAGGAUAGGCAUAGAUACCCCUGCCGAGGGGAUAUACACCUGCACCAUCCAGAGUCCCUGUGGCAACUUCACCUCAGAUCCAGAAGAACUUGAAUUUAAAGGUAGACACACUCGCCAGUCAUAUUUGAGACUUGAAAAGUCUGUUUCUACUCAUAAUCAAAUCCAAUCUAAUUGUAUAGUCACAUGCGCCGAAUACAACAGGUGUAGUAGACCUUACAGUGAAAUGCUAACUUACGAGCCCCUAACCAACAUUGUAGUUUCAAAAAAUACAGAUAAGAAUAACAGAUAA
rnacentral:lncRNA from 1 species